rnacentral:rRNA from 1 species
GAUGAACGCUGGCGGCGUGCUUAACACAUGCAAGUCGAACGGUGAAGGCGGAGCUUGCUCUGCUGGAUCAGUGGCGAACGGGUGAGUAACACGUGAGCAAUCUGCCCCUGACUCUGGGAUAAGCGCUGGAAACGGCGUCUAAUACUGGAUACGAGCUGCGAAGGCAUCUUCAGCAGCUGGAAAGAAUUUCGGUCAGGGAUGAGCUCGCGGCCUAUCAGCUUGUUGGUGAGGUAAUGGCUCACCAAGGCGUCGACGGGUAGCCGGCCUGAGAGGGUGACCGGCCACACUGGGACUGAGACACGGCCCAGACUCCUACGGGAGGCAGCAGUGGGGAAUAUUGCACAAUGGGCGAAAGCCUGAUGCAGCAACGCCGCGUGAGGGACGACGGCCUUCGGGUUGUAAACCUCUUUUAGCAGGGAAGAAGCGAAAGUGACGGUACCUGCAGAAAAAGCGCUGGCUAACUACGUG